AGCAGCCGCGGUAAUUCCAGCUCCAAUAGCUUAUAUUAAAGUUGUUGCAGUUAAAAAGCUCGUAGUUGAACCUUAGGCCCGUGCGGGCGGUCCGUCCUCUGGGCGAGCACUGCCUCGUCGCGGGUCUCACCUUCUGGCGAGCGUGGAUGCCAUUCAUUUGGUGUCUGCGGGAACCAGGACCUUUACCUUAGAAAAAAUUAGAGUGCUCAAAGCGGGCUCUUACGCUUGAAUACAUUAGCAUGGAAUAAUGAAAUAGGACGACGGUUCUAUUUUGUUGGUUUCCGGGAUUGUCGUAAUGAUUAAUAGGGAUAGUUGGGGGCAUUCGUAUUCAAUUGUCAGAGGUGAAAUUCUUGGAUUUAUUGAAGACGGACUACUGCGAAAGCAAUUUGCCAAGGAUGUUUUCAUUAAUCAAAGACGAAAGUUGGGGGAUCGAAGACGAUCAGAUACCGUCGUAGUCUACAACCCAUAAACCUAUGCCGACUGGGAAUCGGGCGUAUGUUAUUUUUUCGUGACUCGCUUC
rnacentral:rRNA from 1 species